CUGGCGGCGCCGCCAUCUUCCACGUCUGUCUGUCCGCGGCCCUUUGUCUGUCUGCGGCUCCCGGCGCAGUGGGCCCCCGCUCUGCCACCGGAGGGACGGCGCUGUGCUCUGGCCCGGGAAUCAUGUCCCGUCGGAAACAGACCACUCCCAACAAAGUUCACUGCAAUGGGCACUGGCUGAAAGUCAGUGGGCUGAUAAGCCCCGUCCGUCAGAUCGCGCUUGGCCUCAGCUCAGAGGACAGUCCUCUGUUCCUGCAGUGACGUCGAGGCACCAGCGUUUGUCCUGCCGCGGAGCGGCUGUGGGCGCUAUUCAUGCGUGCUUGCUGUGGGCAGGCUGCAGCGAGGUGCGAGCGGAGCAGGGGACAGAUGCAUGGGUGUCAGGCUGCAGAGUGGGAACAGCACAUCCGCAGUGGCUGCUUGACCGGCUGUGCCAAGGGAGAACUGGGAACUGGGCGUACAGUCUUGCAUAGACCUGGCCCUGUGGUUAGAGACGUGUCUGGAGCCAAGGCUGGAAAGGGGACGGCAAGUUCCUGUGCUGGGGGACGCACAGCUGGCGAGAUGAGGAGGCAUCGGGAUUGCUGGAGUGUUGUGGCUGUCCUGGAUGCUGGGAGCUGGAGCCACGGCCCUCGCAGUGCCUCCCAUCGCUGCUGCUGCUGCCUUGCAUGUCUGUUUGUGCUGUCUGUGUGUAUGGAUAUGGCAACAGAAAUCUGUGCAUGCUGUUCUCUGUACACUCAACAAACAUAAUGUGGGAAAUUACUUCUGUCUGUAAUUUGGGAUUUCCUACUGGGGAGAAUGAGCUCUCCGGGAUUUGAAAGCCUGCUGGGCUGCCGGCGCUGUGCGUGGGAGGGCAGACAAAGGUUCCCUUGGUGCCUGGUGUAAGGGAAUGGAGGGCGACUUUUGGCAGCUGCCCUGUGACUUGUGCUCACCAGUUCCUGCUUCUCUGUGCUGGGUUCAGCUUGGGCACAUUGUGGCUUUGGUUUGCCUGCUGUACAUUAAUGACUUUGGAAUUGUCUUCAUUAGAGUAAUGUGAUAUUUUUGUGUGUGUUUUCUUCUACCGUGCCAGUAACACAUCUUGCAUCCACACAUACUUGCUUCCAAAAGUGCACAGAUACUACUUGCUUCUGUUUAGGUUAAACUUACAUGCAGCAGCUCUUGCGCUUUCUGCCCUGUGUAGAUGUAUUCUGCCUUGUGGAUGUUUGCAGACCAAAGGACACAGCAGCUGUAAUGGUAUGGGUAGCUUUUCCAUGGUGUUCAGGUGGUCUCUGUGCUUUUCUGUGCUCCACUGUAAUAGGGUUUUGUUCCUUGGAAGCCAGCACAGAGCUCUGCCUAAUAUGGAGUUCAGCUUUGCACUGUUUUCACAGCGGACAUUGCCUUUAAUAUCUGCAACAAAGCUGAUUGCAUUGCCAGUUUUGCUCUCAGGGGAGACUGACUGACAGACAUGCUACCAGCAGGCAUGAGGCUGAAGUAUGGUAUCUGAUAAGGCUUGGAGAGAGGAGGUCUGGGACCAGAUCACCUGCUUGAAAUGCAAAACAUUAGCUCUCAGAACAGCUACUUGAUAGGAGACAGCAGGAGCAGCAAGCAGAACCACAAGAAGAUAAAGGGACUGAGAGAUACAAGGCAAAUGGCAGUGAUGAUGUCUGCACCUUGCGAUGCAAAUCUUGUCUGUCUUGUGAUGAGCACCACCAAAUCGUUGGGACUUCUCUGUCUGCCUAGCCUGCUGCGUAUCUGGAGGGCCCAGAAAUGCCAUGCAGUGCACUGGUGAAUGACAAGGA